rnacentral:rRNA from 1 species
AUGGACGCGAAGGACAUCCUCGGGCUCCAGAAGACCUCCUUCCCGUCCGCCCAGGAGAAGAAGUCGCGGCCGCCCAAGGAGCCGCAGCGCAAGCCCGAUGGCGUCUCGCGCGAGGUGUACGCGCUCACCGGAGGGGUCGGAAUGGCGCCGCUCAUGCCGACCAUCGAGGCCUCGCACCUGAAGCGCCGGCCUGCUGUCGAGAAGGAGAAGGUAGCAUGGCAGUGGCUACCUUUCACGUCAUCUGCACGAACUGACAAUCUGCAACUUUACCACUGGGUUAGAGUUGUAAAUAAUGUUCCACCAACUGGUGAUUAUGACUUUGCAAAAUAUAACACGAAGGUGGAUGUUCUUAAAUACACCGAUGAGGAGUACGAGAAAUAUUUAACUGAACCUACAUGGAGCAGAGAAGAAACAGACCAGCUAUUUGAAUUAUGUCAGCGCUUUGACCUUCGUUUCAUAGUAAUAGCAGAUAGGUUUCCAACUGCUCGCAGCGUGGAAGAUCUAAAGAGCCGUUAUUAUUCAGUUACUAGGGCCCUUCUAAUUGCAAGAGCUCGAUCAUUCGAUGAAGUUGCUGGAAACCCUCUUGUGAAGGAAACCUUCAAUGCUGCUCAUGAGACCGAGAGAAAACGUGCAUUGUCUGCACUCUUCUCCCAAACAAAACAGCAAGAACGAAAGGAUGCCGAGGUUUUAGCAGAAGCAAAACGCAUUAUGGAAUCUCGUGCUGCUAAUAAAAAUGUGGAAGAAGCCGGAGCACCGACGAGCAUCCCUAAUGCUGCGGUUCCUGCUGACGGUGUAUCUCCCUUGAGCAACAAUCUUCCAUCUUCAGCUGCUACACAUCCAGCUGCAGCAGCGAAUACCUCCAUACCUGAUACACUGCGGAUGCUUAAAGUGUAUUUGAGAACCCAUGCACUUGAUCAAAUGGUUCAAGCAGUAACUGCUUCAGCUGGCAUUAGAAUGAUUAAAAGGGUGGAUCAAACUCUACAAGAUCUUGGGGUAAAUUUGAAGCCUAAGGUCCCAACAAAAGCAGUUUGUGCCGAACAUCUUGAGUUACGGAAUGAGAUACUCACACUGCUUAACAUACAGAAGCAGCUACAAAAUAAAGAGGCUGAAGUUUUAGCAAACAGAGAAAGUUCAUUCACAGAGGCACCGACCACACCUAAGCGUUCUAAUAGAGAUAUUGAUCGACCCUUUGUCCCUGAUAUGGCUGGGUUUGGAGGUGAGAGAGCAGUCAAACGGGACCACAAGAGGAAGGCCACUGGAAGAUUUGAUGCACCCCCCUCACCAACCCAGGGCAAGAGGCCUCGGAAGAUGAAGGCGUCUGAUUGA